CGAUAUCCCGGCCGAAAAUAAAUGUAGUUGGAACACUUUUAUCUGUUUCAGUAACAUCAACGAUUCUGCGAAUGUUUAAUAUCUCCUUCACGGUACUAACCUCGAGAGAACACACCAGCAUCACUUGAGUAUCGGUUGUAUCAGUGUACCGCCGCCGCUAUUCAGUAGAGCACAGACAUAUUGGUAUGUUUUAGUCUUGAAAUCUUUGUCGCUAUCAUUCAAGGUAAACGAUUUCUGUAACACAUUCUUCUCCAUUUCAAGACAGGAAAAUAAUCAAACUGGCACUGAUGACUAAUAGUGUGCUCUUACUGAUUCCUAGAAGCGGGACGUUUAUCGUCCCAAUAUCCCUUUUCAUACAAAAACGCGUAAUUCCAAGAAAAAUACUGGACACGCAGACGUCUAAGUCAGCUAAGUACUACAUCGUGUUAUUGGAAGCUAUUGGAAUAAAGGAUUUGUAAAUAGAAUACAAUCAUAUUAAUAAACUUCUGAAUAAUGUUUGUUCCUUCUGACCGACGCUAUUGUCCUUGCCAGCCAACCAUAGAUCGAUUUGCUGAUGAAAGAAAUUAAAUUGGCAAGAACUAUUGUAGAUGAGUAAUGGUUGGCAAAUGCUAAUGUUUGUAAACACCAACCAUCGCUAUACCACAAUUAACCAGUAUAUCUUCCACCAUUGAUAAUUUACAUGUAUAUUUCAUAAACCAGAGCUAGAAAUGAAUUUAUGAAGUAAUAACGUUUCAAAAUAAAAAUGCAAUUUAUCAGAUUCAAUUCGUUUGGUAAGAGAGAUAUUUCUAAGAUUUCUGUUAGAGGUACGAUUAUUAUUCACAGACGAAGCCAGACGUACACCGAUCUGCUGGGUUUGUAUUCCUUACUAAAAGGGCGAAAAUAAAGCAAAACUAGAGUGUAGGCCAAGAAGGCAAGAAAUAGAUACCUACUUGAAAAUAAAGAGAAUUAUUUAUGAA